UUCUUCAUGCCUGACUAAUCAUGGUAGCAUCACUCAUGGGUAAUACCCAAGCUCAAUCGAUAUGGGAGGGAGAACAUUUUUUUUUAAAGGAUGAGAAGACACCAAAUUGAUGCAAAAAAGGAAACUUAUAUUUUAUUAUGAAGUGUAAAUGAAGACAGCACUCUUUUGACAAUUAACGUAAAUAAUGUGGAUGCCAGCUCCAAUUUGUAAUGUCUAAUGAAGGUCACAGGGGAAAACCAAAUUCAAAUCGGGUGGAAUGAGCCUUAAUUUUCUUGAGGGUUUGAAGGUGGAAUAAACAGUCUGUUGGAUUUUCUGUAGUGACCUACAAGUGACAGUGAUGAUGCAAUCCCUGAGGUCCAGUUCAUGAAGUUUGACCUCUUUAGGAGAAGGGGACAGAAAGAAGGAUGGUAGUACUAAUUCUUGGAGAAGAUGAAAUGUUAAGAUUACUUAAGGAGGAAAAUAUUAUCUGGGCUUUAAAACCACU